CCCUACGGGGGGCAGCAGUGGGGAAUAUUGGGCAAUGGGCGCAAGCCUGACCCAGCAACGCCGCGUGAAGGAAGAAGGCUUUCGGGUUGUAAACUUCUUUUGUCAGGGACGAAGCAAGUGACGGUACCUGACGAAUAAGCCACGGCUAACUACGUGCCAGCAGCCGCGGUAAUACGUAGGUGGCAAGCGUUAUCCGGAUUUACUGGGUGUAAAGGGCGUGUAGGCGGGACUGCAAGUCAGAUGUGAAAACCACGGGCUCAACCUGUGGCCUGCAUUUGAAACUGUCGAGCUUGAGUGAAGUAGAG
rnacentral:rRNA from 1 species